CCCGCCGGCACCGGCGCACGGGUGAGUAACACGUAUGGAACCUGCCCGCAGCAGGGGGAUAAGCGGAAGAAAUUCCGUCUAAUACCGCGUAACACCGCGGAGGGGCAUCCCUCGGCGGUUAAAGAUUCAUCGGCUGCGGAUGGCCAUGCGGCGCAUUAGCUAGUCGGCGGGGUAACGGCCCACCGAGGCGACGAUGCGUAGGGGUUCUGAGAGGAAGGUCCCCCACACUGGUACUGAGACACGGACCAGACUCCUACGGAAGGCAGCAG
rnacentral:rRNA from 1 species